AUAAUCGUCUUUAUUAGAAAUUCUGGUAACAAAAAGAAUAAACUCAAAUCAAAUCUAAAGAUCGGUUUAUAUGUCAGCUAUAUGAAGUUAUAAGACGAUUUGGACCACAUUUGUCAGUUAUUGAAACUCAAAAAUUCAAAAACAGAUAUGUAUGGGUUUAUAUGGCAGCUAUAGCAGGUUAUGAACCGAUUUGGACCAUUCUUUGUACAGUUAUUGGGACUCAAAAUAUCUUACGUGGAAUUUCAAUUAAAUCGAAUAAAAAUUGCGAUUUCCAGAGGCUUGAGAUGGCAACGUCCGAGAUCAGCUUAUAUGGCAGCUAUAUCAAAACAUGGGCCGAUAUGACCCAUUAACAAUCCCAACCAAAAUUUUGGAAAAAGACGAAAAUUGAAAAAAAGCGCCAUUGGUGAGCUUAUCUUU